rnacentral:rRNA from 1 species
ACGCUCGACACCUACGGGAGGGCAGCAGUGGGGAAUAUUGCACAAUGGGGGAAACCCUGAUGCAGCGACGCCGCGUGGAGGAAGAAGGUCUUCGGAUUGUAAACUCCUGUUGUUGGGGAAAAAGAGGAUGGUACCCAACAAGGAAGUGACGGCUAACUACGUGCCAGCAGCCGCGGUAAUCUGAGCGGGCUGGCAAGGC